GACGAACGCUGGCGGCGUGCUUAACACAUGCAAGUCGAACGGAAAGGCCCUGCUUUUGUGGGGUGCUCGAGUGGCGAACGGGUGAGUAACACGUGAGUAACCUGCCCUUGACUUUGGGAUAACUUCAGGAAACUGGGGCUAAUACUGGAUAGGAGCUCCUGCUGCAUGGUGGGGGUUGGAAAGUUUCGGCGGUUGGGGAUGGACUCGCGGCUUAUCAGCUUGUUGGUGGGGUAGUGGCUUACCAAGGCUUUGACGGGUAGCCGGCCUGAGAGGGUGACCGGCCACAUUGGGACUGAGAUACGGCCCAGACUCCUACGGGAGGCAGCAGUGGGGAAUAUUGCACAAUGGGCGGAAGCCUGAUGCAGCAACGCCGCGUGCGGGAUGACGGCCUUCGGGUUGUAAACCGCUUUCGCCUGUGACGAAGCGUGAGUGGCGGUAAUGGGUAAAGAAGCACCGGCUAACUACGUG
rnacentral:rRNA from 1 species